CCCAGAGCCAUAUCAUCCUGCAGCUCUUGCCUGGUUUCUCCCUGAAGCUAAGCAGGGUUGAGCCUGGCCAGUAUCUGGAAGGGAGACCUCCUGAGGAAAGCUAAGGUUUCAGCUGGAA
rnacentral:rRNA from 1 species